CCUCCUGGAAAGGGUGGAACAGGGGACGCACUGGGUGAGGCCAGCAGGGGAGGGCUCAUGCUUAGUGGCCGGGGCAGGGUGAUGGGAGAGACGAACACCUGCCGUGUGUAGUAUCAGUACUACAUACAGAGACUUUUAGCCAGCACUUCUGCCCAAGCCCACGCCUUACCCCGUCUCCCGAGGGGUAAGUGCAGUGUCCAAGCGCCCAGCCUGUCAGAGUCCUGUAGGUGAACUAGCACAUUUUUCGGCUAUCAGAGCCCCUUCUCUGCUCAGGCAAAGGUUGGCAAGAAUGUGGAUGCUAUCAGAAAUAUGAAGGUCCCUGCUAUGGGCUGAAUUGUGUCCCCAAAUUCAUAGUCGAAGCCCUAACUCCUUAUAUCUCAGAAUGUGGCUGCGUUUGGAGAUAUGGCCUUUAUAGAGGAACCCUCAGGAAUGGAGAGCUGAAAGUGAUAGUGUUACCACUUAAAUAACAUGGCUGAAGCAGGGAUGAGAAAUAUCAUGGGCUGCUAGUGAUCAGAUCUAUCAACGCGUGGAAUGUAGAGCAUCACUCUGGAUUAAGGAUGAAACUGCCUUCGAAAUACCAGCCAGACUCAGCCUGGAGCCAAAGGAGAUUGCUAGAGAGUGGUCCCGCCACACAGAAGACUGGCAUUUGAGCCCAUCACAACCUAUAUUGAAAUGAGUGGACCAAAAUGUGAACUUUCUAGUACUCCAGCUGUACCUGAGAUUCCUAGAAGAGCAACAUUUCCUGGUUGGCUGUCUGGAGGCAUAUCCGGUAUCUAACUUGUGAGAAAGGACUUUAAAAAAGAAAGAAAGUGAGAAGUGUCCAAAUUUGGCUAAUAAACCAGACUCGUGAUUCACCAAAGUCAUGCCUACUACUCCCUGACCUUACUCAUUGCUUAAGUGGCAUUAGACUUUUGAACUUGGGCCACAUAUUAUCAAAUUUCCUAGAGUGGCAGAUAGUAUUGGGGAAAAAACACCUCAAAUGCAAUUUUUUAUGUAGAUGAGCCAGUGAGUGAGCUUAAGGUCAUAGAAAUCAAUGAACACAAUUAUGUUUUGCAACAAUUACAAAAAGCCCUUAAAAAUAAAAAUUGUAGCUUUUGCUGC